GCCGACGUAGCUCAAUCGGCAGAGCAACAGUCUUGUAAACUGUAGGUCAGGGGUUCGAUUCCCCUCGUCGGCUC
rnacentral:tRNA from 1 species